UACAGAGGGGGCAAGCGUUGUUCGGAAUUACUGGGCGUAAAGGGCGCGUAGGCGGCCUGUUAAGUCGAACGUGAAAUCCCCGGGCUCAACCCGGGAACUGCGACCGAUACUGGAAGGCUUGAAUCCGGGAGAGGGAUGCGGAAUUCCAGGUGUAGCGGUGAAAUGCGUAGAUAUCUGGAGGAACACCGGUGGCGAAGGCGGCAUCCUGGACCGGCAUUGACGCUGAGGCGCGAAAGCCAGGGGAGCAAACGGG
rnacentral:rRNA from 1 species